CGGCCACACUGGCUCCCGUACGAUCACCAAAGUAAAGCAACAUCGCGCCUGGUCAGUGCCUAGAUGGGUCACCGCUUGGAAAUACCAGGUGCUGUAAG